rnacentral:rRNA from 1 species
AACGAACGCUGGCGGCGUGCUUAACACAUGCAAGUCGAACGGACUCUUCGGAGUUAGUGGCGGACGGGUGAGUAAUACAUAGAUAAUCUGCCUUCAAGUGGGGGAUAACUAUGCGAAGGUUUAGCUAAUACCGCAUAAUGUAGUUAGUUGAAAUACUAAUUAAGAAAGGAUUUAUUCGCUUUUAGAGGGGUCUAUGGUUGAUUAGCUAGUUGGUGAGGUAAUGGCUCACCAAGGCGACGAUCAAUAGCUGGUCUGAGAGGACGAUCAGCCACACUGGGGCUGAGACACGGCCCAGACUUCUACGGAAGGCAGCAGUGGGGAAUUUUCCGCAAUGGGCGAAAGCCUGACGGAGCGACGCCGCGUGGAGGAUGAAGUUUUUAGGAAUGUAAACUCCUUUCAGCAGGGACGAAAACAAUGACGGUACCUGCAGAAGAAGCAUCGGCUAACUACGUGCCAGCAGCCGCCGUAA